CUGGCAAGUUCUUUGCCAGCAGCCGCGGUAAUUCCAGCUCCAAUAGCGUAUAUUAAAGUUGUUGCAGUUAAAAAGCUCGUAGUUGAACUUUGGGCCUGGGCGGGCGGUCUACCUAUGGUUUGUACUGCUGCGGCCGGGUCUUUCCUUCUGGCUACCCCUCCGGGGGGAACCAGGACGAUUACUUUGAGGAAAUUAGAGUGUUCAAAGCAGGCCUUUGCUCGGAUAUAUUAGCAUGGAAUAAUAGAAUAGGACGUAUGGUUCUAUUUUGUUGGUUUCUAGGACCAUCGUAAUGAUUAAUAGGGACGGUCGGGGGCAUCAGUAUUCAGUCGUCAGAGGUGAAAUUCUUGGAUUGACUGAAGACUAACUACUGCGAAAGCAUUGCCAAGGACGUUUCAUAUCAAGACGAAAUGG
rnacentral:rRNA from 1 species